rnacentral:rRNA from 1 species
CCAAUAGCGUAUAUUAAAGUUGUUGCAGUUAAAAAGCUCGUAGUUGAAUUUCGGGGUUAGCAGGUCGGUCGUGCCAUCGGUAUGAACUGGUCUCGCUGAUCCCUCCCUCUUGACGAACUGUGAUGCCAUUAAUUUGGUGUCGCAGGGAAUCAGGACUGUUACUUUGAAAAAAUUAGAGUGUUUAAAGCAGGCUCACGCUUGAAUACAUUAGCAUGGAAUAAUGAAAUAGGACGUUUGAUCCUAUUUUGUUGGUUUAUAGGAUUGACGUAAUGAUUAAUAGGGAUAGUUGGGGGCAUUAGUAUUCAAUUGUCAGAGGUGAAAUUCUUGGAUUUAUUGAAGACUAACUACUGCGAAAGCAUUUGCCAAGGAUGUUUUCAUUAAUCAAGAACGAAAGUUAGGGGAUCGAAGACGAUCAGAUACCGUCGUAGUCUUAACCAUAAACUAUGCCGACUAGGGAUCGGAUGAUGUUAAUUUUUUAAUGACUCAUUCGGCGCCUUACG